UUCCAUUUUCACCAGAAGCUCUCAUCUCUCAAAGUAAAGGCUAUGUAAGCUCUCUGACGGAACUUUCCUUCUCUGAUGGCUAACACUCCCAUCUCCUUCAAUCUUCAUCUCAAACUACCUUUCAUUGAUUGUGACUACUAACUAUCGCUUUACUCUCUUCACUUAAAGAUAUACUCUCAAGAUAUUUACUUUACUGAUCGUAAUCAGGAAGAAGAGUAGUAAUUCCACAGAAAGGUACAUGAACAAUCUAGAACAUAGUUGGAUGUGUGAGAUGUUGGAUGGUCGAGGGGCUAUAAAUUCAAGUUUCAUAGGCAUAAGUUUUUCCAGAUGAUUUGAUAGCUUUUUUUGGAGGCAUUUCAAAAUAUUUUAGCACAUUUUCACUUGAUUGGAAAAUACUUUAGUAAUCAACUUAUUGGCUAUUUUUCAAGUCAAAAAUUUGCAGCUGCUGUGCAGGCUGUGCAGAAUUAUGAGAUAUUAUAAAAGGUAGAGAUCCAACACCGAGUGAGUUACAUUAGCACGUUAACACGGUCAUGAUGAAAAUCAUUUAUUGGUGAACGUUCUUGAAUUUUCCAUGUAAGUCAAAAACUUUAAAGCUUAUCUAAAAAUGUAAAUGCAGGUCUCAUAGGUUCAAAAUCAUAUUAGUUGCUGUUGUUUUUGUAUAAUGAAGGUGUUGUUUUGAUGCCUUUUCGCUGCAAUUUUAGUAUUGUUUUAGUGCGAUCCUACUGCUGUUUUAGAAUGACUCUUGUGCAGUUGUUUUUUGUGAAAUUCGAGUCAUGUUUUAGAACGUAUUUGUUUAUGUUGUUUUGGUAUAAUGUAGGUGUUGUUUUAA